rnacentral:rRNA from 1 species
AAACCGUUCAGGGGUAAACCUGAGGAACCCGAAAGAUCGAAUGGGGAGAUUCAGCGUCAGCGGCGCUGGCUCGGCCGAGCGAGCGAUGUUGCGGACUACGGAUCGCGACACGUCAUCGCUCAUGCCUUGUCCGGUGUCGUCGUCGUGCACUUCUUCUCUAGUAGAACGUCGCGACCCGUUGGGUGCCGGUCUACGGUCCGAGCGGUAGACUGUCGCGUCGCUUCGGCGCACGCGUCAGACCCUCGGUCGCCCGGCCGGCUGCCCGGCGGUCGAACUUAUAAGGUAUCUUGCCGCAAUUAUCGAACUGCGUCGGGCCCGCCGCAAGCGCGGUCAGUGUCUCGGAGGUACGGACCCGGUGCCGGCACCGAGCCUGACCAGCUGUUGGCAGGCGGAGUCCUCGGACGGGCAAUACACAAUAAUACCGGUCUGCGACGCUACUGCUUUGGGUACUCUCAGGACCCGUCUUGAAACACGGACCAAGGAGUCUAACAUGUGCGCGAGUCAUUGGGACUGCAAAGCCUAAAGGCGUAAUGAAAGUGAAGGUCGACCUCGCGUCGACCGAGGGAGGAUGGGCCGCGUUAAGACGCGGCUCCGCACUCCCGGGGCGUCUCGUUCUCAUUGCGAGAAGAGGCGCACCCAGAGCGUACACGUUGGGACCCGAAAGAUGGUGAACUAUGCCUGGUCAGGACGAAGUCAGGGGAAACCCUGAUGGAGGUCCGUAGCGAUUCUGACGUGCAAAUCGAUCGUCGGAACUGGGUAUAGGGGCGAAAGACUAAUCGA